GCGGUGCUAUAUGGUCCCAUUUAAUGAUAUAUCCCUAACAUGCCUGCUUGAGGUGGUGCAGAAAGCCUGGGCCGAAGGAAGUCAGAUCUGAAGGGCUACAGGAAAGGAGGAGGGAGAGAAACAUCUCCUGUGCUCACCAAGACCCCCAGACACUGGGGCCAGCCGCAAAUUCCUUCCAGUUUGUAAAAACGCGGUUUGGUGACAGGCACUGAAAGAGAGUGAGACAUCACAAGGGGUGACAGUGCAGCUCUGACAACACAAAUGAAAUGAGAAAGGCAGUCAGCCCAGGCUGGCUCCUUUGGAAUUCCAGAGAAUUCCCGACGCUGAUUUCGUCCAUGUUCGAAUUCGUUUAGCACUCCUUUCCAACGACCUCUCUGUGGGCCAGGACAUGUUCACUCCUCUCCAGGACGUCCGGCUAUUCGGAGAAGGCCUCACGGAAGGAAAGAAAGUACACCGCACGAUGACCCACGCGGGAGCCAGAAACCGCUCUCCCCUCUCUCGCGGAAUCCUCCGGAGCUUCCCUCCCACCGGCUCGGCGCAAACCGUCGCUGGGCUUCCCCCUACUUGUGAAGCAACCCUGUCUCCUCAGCAGAGCAGGACCUGUUUGACGAAUGGUGGCAGAGGGCUGAGGGGGAAGUGGAUUUUGAUCGCCUUGAUUGCAAGAAUCCAGACGUUUAAAGAAGAGCCCAGCCCGGAUGCCUGGGCUCCCUGGGAGGCUGAGCGAGGGAGGAGCGCCAUCUACUGGCCACAGGUGCAAGGAGCACCCUCCACGUCUGCCGGAGCGGAGCCUUGGAACAAAUUAUGAAUCAUUUUGUCAAUAGGGCUUUUGGAACUCGGCUGCUCCAAAGUUAGGAUCCAAAAACAAAUGAUAAAGUACAUGCGCUUUCCAUCCUCUCCCUCUUGUUCUCCUUCCCCAAAUGUUCUUGGGAAGUAAAUGCAGAGGAAAAGAAAUAGAAAUGUUCCCUUAAAAAAGCAAGGAGUGCUGGAAUUUGGAUUGUCUGCAGGAGGGAAGAAAAUGGAGCUGAUUUCUGUUUCUGCAAACCAGGAUUUAGAAGAGACUUAAACCCAUGCUGGGCUUCAUCUCCUCUACCCCUUCUGCUCAGCUAGCUAAUGAGGGUGCUAAUUAACUGGGGGGAUGGCAUGACAUGAACAAAAGGACAAUAGAACUGGGCUAUAGGCAGGCCCGGCCUGGGGCUGUGCUGUGAACCCUGUCAAACCAUGGACUAGAGAUGUUCUCACUCCAAAGUAUAACAAAAGCCCCACCUUCCCAUGCUCCCAGAUUUCUCCUCAAGGACAGCCCUGGAGUCUCCCAGAACUACUCACAGCUGACCGGUCCCCAUGAGUAUCUCUAGAGAAAGGCCUAUACUCCCAGCCCAGAACAGUUUGAUCUUCACCACCUUCCUUUACUUCCAACCCAGAGAAAUUUCCCAUCACGAGCAGAUACACCUUUCCCACUGUGAGCUUAAGCUCCCCUGUGAAGUCCCAACUUCCAACAAAUCCGAAGGACCACCAAAUUCUCCAUUUCAAAGGCCUGGUGUCAGCAAAGCCAAAAUUCACUACAAGACCUAAAUUAGGAACCGUUUCUUAGCUCUCAUAAUAAAUGAACAGAAAAACAGAUCCCUUCUGUGAAGUUUCUGAUGUGGGACCGUCAAAAUAAGGAGUGUUUGCUUACACACACUAAGCACAGUGGCAUCAGGUGAACAAGCAUGGUGGGAGCACAACAGUUCACACCAUGACUUCAGUCUGCUCUUUUCCAACAGUCCUUCUUCCUGGGGGUCCGAAGCCAGCGCCCCUCACCCACCCUGCUUUUCCGAGAAUAAAGCUCAAAGGCUGGUACUACUUUAAUGCCACAGACAGGGUAACUAUGGCAAAAAGAUAGAAUCUCUUAAAGAGAACCAAAACCAGAUGUUUGUAAAGGAGGUGAUGACUGUUUCUCUAAAAAUGAGAUAAGAGCCAUUGUAUUAGGUUGUCUUCAUUUUGCCAAAUCUUCUUAAAAUAAAAAUCACCCCAAGAAAUAAA
rnacentral:lncRNA from 1 species